rnacentral:rRNA from 1 species
UACGAAGGGGGCGAGCGUUGUUCGGAAUUACUGGGCGUAAAGGGCGCGUAGGCGGCGAUCCUAGUCAGAUGUGAAAGUCCUGGGCUUAACCUGGGGACUGCAUUUGAUACUGGAUUGCUUGAAUUCGGGAGAGGAUAGCGGAAUUCCCAGUGUAGAGGUGAAAUUCGUAGAUAUUCGGAAGAACACCAGUGGCGAAGGCGGCUCACUGGCCCGUUACCGACGCUCAGGCGCGACAGCGUGGGGAGCAAACAGG